rnacentral:rRNA from 2 species
CGAGUGAAGCGGCAACAGCUCAAAUUUGAAAUCUGGCCCCCCCCGGGGGCCCGAGUUGUAAUUUGCAGAGGAUGCUUUUGGCGAGGCGCCUUCCGAGUUCCCUGGAACGGGACGCCGCAGAGGGUGAGAGCCCCGUCUGGUCGGACGCCAAGCCAGUGUAAAGCUCCUUCGACGAGUCGAGUAGUUUGGGAAUGCUGCUCUAAAUGGGAGGUAUAUGUCUUCUAAAGCUAAAUAUUGGCCAGAGACCGAUAGCGCACAAGUAGAGUGAUCGAAAGAUGAAAAGCACUUUGAAAAGAGGGUUAAACAGUACGUGAAAUUGUUGAAAGGGAAGCGCUCGUGACCAGACUCGGGCCCGGCGGAUCAUCCGGCGUUCUCGCCGGUGCGCUCCGCCGGGCCCGGGCCAGCAUCAGCUCGCCGCGGGGGACAAAGGCUUCGGGAACGUGGCUCCCACGGGAGUGUUAUAGCCCGCUGCGCAAUGCCCCGGGGCGGGCUGAGGUUCGCGCUCCGCAAGGAUGCUGGCGUAAUGGUCACCAGCGACCCGUCUUGAAACACGGACCAAGGAGUCGUCUUCGUAUGCGAGUGUUCGGGUGUGAAACCCCUACGCGUAAUGAAAGUGAACGCAGGUGAGAGCCUCGGCGCAUCAUCGACCGAUCCUGAUGUUCUCGGAUGGAUUUGAGUAAGAGCAUACGGGGCCGGACCCGAAAGAAGGUGAACUAUGCCUGUGUAGGGUGAAGCCAGAGGAAACUCUGGUGGAGGCUCGCAGCGGUUCUGACGUGCAAAUCGAUC